rnacentral:lncRNA from 12 species
CACUCUAUGAGUGGCCAGUGGCUGGCACAUGGAGCAUAUAUUGAUUAGUUCUUAUUGCAUAACAAAUUGCCCAGAAAUUCCAGGGCUUAAAACAAUAAUCAUUUGUAACUGUUCAUGCCUCUCUAAAGGUUGGUGGAAGUUCACUGAUGUAGAUGGAGUUCAGCUUUGUGGCUUUGCUUUUCACUCUGUGCAGGUCAAUGGGAUGCCUGGGGCAGCUCUGCUUCAGGCUGUGGGGACCAGGAUGGUUUUUCUUAUAUCUGUUAUCCUUUUCUUGAGACUCGAUCACCAGCUGGGGUAUGUUCUCAUGAGAAAGGCAGAAAUUUUAGAGAGCAAGUGGAAACACAGGAGGAUAUUGAGGUCUUGGCUCAGAAACUGCGUACUUCUAACCUACAUGCCAAUGGCCCAAAUGGAUUACAAGCCAACUCCAAGUCAAGCGAUGGAGAAGUCCACUCUCUCUUCCUUCAGGCCACACAAAGUGUGUCUGCUUCAACAAGUUUGAUCUUAUGAAGAAAAGGUAACAGGGGUUCUUCGGAAUUUAUAAGUAAGUAUAAAUUGGACACCUUUCUAUAGAUCUUAACUUUUUAAAAUUUUUUAAUUAAAUUCCAGAGUUAACAUAUAGUGUAAUGUUAGUUUCAGAUGUACAAUUUAUUCAACACUUCUGUACAACAUCCAGUGCUCAUCAUGACAGGUGCAUUCCUUCAUCCCCAUGAACUAUUUAACCCCAUCCUCUUGCCCCCUCCCCUCUGAUAACCAUCAGUUUGUUCUCUAUAGUUAAGAGACUG